AGAGUUUGAUCCUGGCUCAUCUUGAGCGCUGGCGGCAGGCUUAACACAUGCAAGUCGAACGGUAACAGAGAAUAGCUUGCUAUUUUGCUGACGAGUGGCGGACGGGUGAGUAAUGCUUGGGAAUUUGCCUUAUGGUGGGGGACAACAGUUGGAAACGACUGCUAAUACCGCAUAAUCUCUUCGGAGCAAAGCAGGGGACCUCCGGGCCUUGCGCCAUAAGAUGAGCCCAAGUGGGAUUAGCUAGUUGGUAAGGUAAUGGCUUACCAAGGCGACGAUCCCUAGCUGGUCUUAGAGGAUGACCAGCCACACUGGAACUGAGACACGGUCCAGACUCCUACGGGAGGCAGCAGUGGGGAAUAUUGCACAAUGGAGGAAACUCUGAUGCAGCCAUGCCGCGUGUGUGAAGAAGGCUUUCGGGUUGUAAAGCACUUUCAGCGAGGAGGAAAGGGUGCAUGUUAAUAGCAUGUAUCUGUGACGUUACUCGCAGAAGAAGCACCGGCUAACUCCGUGCCAGCAGCCGCGGUAAUU
rnacentral:rRNA from 1 species